AGAAGCCACUGUUUCAUAAAACCUGUUUGCUACAUGAAUUAAUACAUGCCUUUGGGAUGUUCAUCGUUUGAUACCUAAGAUCUGAGUUUUUUUUCUUAGAAGAAAUGUUUCCCUAUCAAGUAUAGCAUGCUAUUUUUUUUUUUUUUUAUCUGUUUGGGUUUCAAAUUUUGAAAAGUUGCAUGAGUUGAUCUUUAUCCUUUUACUAUACAACAUGGUGACUGAUUUAAAUUUUCAAAUGACUAUUGCUUUAUUUCAGCUCUCGUGUAUUAUUGGUUAAGGUUAUAGCUUCUGAUCUUUUUUUAUUUCCCCUUCUUUUGCAUGUACUGUGGAGCCGAAGAGUCUCCAAGUGAGACUCGACGACAUCAUCAUUAAGUGAGGGUCCGCGUCUCCUCCUCAUUUCCCUUCAUCUAGUGUCCUUCGCGCCCUCAUAUGAAUCGAAACUGAAAAGAGGGGUGAGGAAGAUGGCGAAUGUUCCUCAAUAUUCCUUCAAUCGCUAAGCGCAUUAUGUUUGCUUUGAUGAUAUCUUUCGCUGGAAUUAUGUGACUAUUGCUUUUCUUCUAGUUUAUUUGUUUAAGGCUACUUUAGUUAAACAACAGGGUAGUUUUUGAUCUUA